UACCUACGGGGGGCAGCAGUGGGGAAUAUUGCACAAUGGGGGAAACCCUGAUGCAGCGACGCCGCGUGAGUGAAGAAGUAUUUCGGUACGUAAAGCUCUAUCAGCAGGGAAGAAAAAAAGUCCUUUGGACUUUGGACGGUACCUGACCAAGAAGCCCCGGCUAACUACGUGCCAGCAGCCGCGGUAAUACGUAGGGGGCAAGCGUUAUCCGGGUUUACUGGGUGUAAAGGGAGCGUAGCCGGCAGCGCAAGUCUGGAGUGAAAUGCCGGGGCCCACCCCCGGAACUGCUUUGGAAACUGUUAAGG
rnacentral:rRNA from 1 species